rnacentral:rRNA from 1 species
UACAGAGGUGGCAAGCGUUGUUCGGAAUUACUGGGCGUAAAGGGCGCGUAGGCGGUUGCCUAAGUCGGACGUGAAAUCCCCAAGCUUAACUUGGGAACUGCAUCUGAUACUGGGUGACUUGAGUUCGGGAGAGGAAUGUGGAAUUCCAGGUGUAGCGGUGAAAUGCGUAGAUAUCUAGAGGAACACCGGUGGCGAAGGCGACAUCCUGGACCGGUAUUGACGCUGAGGCGCGAAAGCCAGGGGAGCAAACGGG